CUUUGUAGUGGCUGGGUGUAUUGAUACACCAUCCAAAGUGCAAUUAAUGACUUCACCAUGCUCAAAGGGAUAUUCAAUGUCUGCUUUUUUUAUUUUUACCCAUCUACUAAUAGGUACCCUUUGCGAGGUAUUGGAAAACCUCCCUGGUCAAUGUGGUUGAACCUGUGUUUGAAAUUCACUGCUCGACUGAGGGACCUUACAGAUACUUGUAUGUAUGGGGUACAGAGAUGAGGUAGUCAUUCAAAAAUCAUGUUUAACACUAUUAUUGCACACUGAGUCCAUGCAACUUAUUAUGUGACUUGUGAAGCACAUAUUUACUCCUAAACUUAUUUAGGCUUGACAUAAAGGGAUUGAAUUCUUAUUGACUCAAGACAGUUUAGCUUUACAUUUUUAAUUUGUAAAAAAAUAUAUAUAAAAAUACAUCUAAACAUAAUUCCACUUUGACAUUGGGGACUAUUGCGUGUAGGCCAGUGACCAAAAAAAGCAACAUUUAAUCAUUUUAUGUUCAGUCUGUAACACAACAAUAUUUUGAAAAAGUCAAGGGGAAUGAAUACUUACUGAAGGCACUGUAUUUAGCCCCUUGGCAUGCGUAUUUGGAUUGGACUGAGUUUGAACCCCCCCCAACUACACACACACACACGAUCUGUCUUCUUUGCUAUGCAGUGUAAUGGGCUUGAACUGAAGGCUUGCUCCUGGCUUUAUCCUCUUGACCCCUCAAAUGUAGCAGAUAAUGAAGAAAGGUGCAAAAUGUAACAAUGUUGUUCUGUAUUUUCCAACAGGCUACAUUACUUAGGUGAGGUGACCGGAAAAGAAGCAGCAGGUUUACCUCCUAUAUCUGCUCAGCCAAGCUCUGCCACAUGAAGAGAUGUACAGUAGACAAGGAAAAAUCAUGUGGAAAGGGAAGGAGGAGACUGGGGCUGUAAGAUGUCUGCUCCAGUGCACCUAAUCUUGCACCUCUCAUCCCUACACCUGUACUGGGAUGACCGGCAGUUGCAGGACCAAUCUUGACACCAUGGUGUCAUUUUAAAUGAACAGAAGGGACACAACGGGAAUGCUGCUGGACAGUUAUAUUUAAACUUUUGUACUAACUUUCAAUAAAUGUAGAUUAUUUUUUUAAGCGUGUGUCUUUAUUGUAUAAGCUUUGCUAUUAAGAUCAGGUAUGUUUCUAAAACAAGUAUUGUUUGUAUGUGGUGUAGCGGCAGUUCAUUCUGUAUUGUCAACUGUACAUGGUACAGAUACUAUUUUUACUUGAUUGAGAGUGUUAGACAUUUAUUUUUAUCUCCUUCAAUUUACUGAAUGUCAAAUUCCUGUUUAGGGGGUUUAACGGAAGUGGAGUAAUGAGGUGUAGAGUACCUGUCAUGUUUUCUGACAGAGGAGGCAUGAUGUUGGGAAGAAAUGCAAGAUAAGUAGGAAACCAUGCCAUGGCUCAUAACCUGGCAAGUUCAGCAGUUACCUACAGAACUACUGACACACCAGUAGGCAUACUGAAUUGUUUUAGUACAGCCUAGGCAGUUUUAUUAAUACAUAAGUAAUGUGUUCUGUGUUGUAAGGGCAUCAUUCUACCAAGGAGUCUAGACCUUUAUAAUAGUCUGCUUGCCUUGCUACCAGGGUUGUGGUUCAACGCCUCCAGCUCUCCCUUCCUACUACAUUGGUAACAGUAUAUGGCAUUGAUAAGGGAAUUUAUGUUUAUGGUAAUGACUAAAGAAUUCUACCCUGAAAUGCAAUUAUUAGAUUAUAAAAAAAUAUAUAUAUAUAUAAAAUGAAUAAUUAGACAAAUGUAAUUAUUAGAUUAUGUAACAUGUAUAAUGAAUUAGAGCGAUAAACUUCAGUCCAAUAAGGUUUGGUCAAGACAAGUAGAAGUGUGUGACUAAGAAAACACAGAGAACAAUUAAAAUAUGCAUGACGUGACCUGGUUAGAACUCUGGGAAAUUUACGACAGGAAAGGGAGUCGUGUCAAGGUCCCUCGUACAGGUUGGACUGUGCUGUAAGCCACAGAAUGAGACAUUUGUAACACUGUUUGUUUCCAUAGAGGUCCUAAUGUGUGUUUAAGCUCUCGUGUCUUCCUGCAGGUAAAAUGUAGGGCGGUGGGCCUUGCUGGAGAACAUGGAGGGCCUGUUCCUGGCAGUGGGUGAGAUUGUGGAUGGGUGUAUGCAGAGAACUCUCCUCACCCCAAAGCAGGGGUCUCUGUAUUCUCAUCACAACAGUGCCCUCUGACUCUGGCCAAAUCAACUUUUCCAUCUAGAAUAUAGGACAAUGGUAGAAGACAUGGCUGGACACUCAUACCUGGAUACUGUCCACGGCUACCCCAUCACACCAUGGGGUAGCCAAGAUAUAGGAAGACCGGAAACAAUUUGUUGGCUACCUACCACAGAGUUUACCAGUUAAAUACUCUGUUACAUAAGUUUAGGUUUCUGUGACUGGAUUGGUUCUCAGGCCAAUAUAAAUCAACCGUCCUACUAGUCUCCACCCCUAGACAAUACAAUAGCUCCUCAAUGUAAGGUUGUUUAGGGUAAGGGAGGAAGCCCAUUUUCUAAGCAUUUAGA
ensembl:lncRNA